rnacentral:tRNA from 31 species
GGGUCUGUAGCUCAGCUGGUUAGAGCACUGUGUUGAUAACGCAGGGGUCGUAGGUUCAAGUCCUACCAGACCCACCA